rnacentral:rRNA from 1 species
UACGGAGGGAGCUAGCGUUAUUCGGAAUUACUGGGCGUAAAGCGCACGUAGGCGGCUUUGUAAGUUAGAGGUGAAAGCCUGGAGCUCAACUCCAGAACUGCCUUUAAGACUGCAUCGCUUGAAUCCAGGAGAGGUGAGUGGAAUUCCGAGUGUAGAGGUGAAAUUCGUAGAUAUUCGGAAGAACACCAGUGGCGAAGGCGGCUCACUGGACUGGUAUUGACGCUGAGGUGCGAAAGCGUGGGGAGCAAACAGGG